AUAGGAAAAAUUCCUAUAGGAAAAAUUCCUAUAGGAAAAAUUCCUAUAGGAAAAAUUCCUAUAAGAAUUUGGGACAAUUUUUCCUAUAGGAAUUUUUCCUAU